UACGUAGGGGUGCGAGCGUUAAUCGGAAUUACUGGGCGUAAAGCGUGCGCAGGCGGUUUUGUAAGCCAGGUGUGAAAUCCCCCGGGCUCAACCUGGGAAUGGCAUUUGGGACUGCAAGGCUUGAGUGCGGCAGAGGAGACUGGAAUUCCUGGUGUAGCAGUGAAAUGCGUAGAUAUCAGGAGGAACACCGAUGGCGAAGGCAGGUCUCUGGGCUGACACUGACGCUCAUGCACGAAAGCG
rnacentral:rRNA from 1 species